ensembl:ncRNA F45F2.15 ncRNA
CAAUCAAAAGGAUCUCGUCAACAACUUGUCCGUGCGCGUGCAACCUGUACUGGAGUUUUCGCAUUCUGCAACAUCAAAAUACAUAUGAGAGUCACAGUUUCUAGAGAUCAAGUCAUACAAUUUGUGACCUCUGAAUAAACACCCCUGUG